CUGGAGGACAGGUGCUGCAUGGCUGUCGUCAGCUCGUGUCGUGAGAUGUUGGGUUAAGUCCCGCAACGAGCGCAACCCUUGCCUUUAGUUGCCAGCAGUUCGGCUGGGCACUCUAAAGGGACUGCCGGUGUUAAACCGGAGGAAGGUGGGGAUGACGUCAAGUCCUCAUGGCCUUUAUGACCAGGGCUACACACGUACUACAAUGGCCGAUACAAAGGGCAGCGACACUGCGAGGUGAAGCCAAUCCCGUAAAAUCGGUCUCAGUCCGGAUUGGAGUCUGCAACUCGACUCCAUGAAGUUGGAAUCGCUAGUAAUCGUGGAUCAGCAUGCCACGGUGAAUACGUUCCCGGGCCUU
rnacentral:rRNA from 1 species